AUUGAACGCUGGCGGCAGGCCUAACACAUGCCAGUCGAGCGGAUGAAGGGAGCUUGCUCCUGGAUUCAGCGGCGGACGGGUGAGUAAUGCCUAGGAAUCUGCCUGUUAGUGGGGGAUAACGUCCGGAAACGGGCGCUAAUACCGCAUACGUCCUGAGGGAGAAAGUGGGGGAUCUUCGGACCUCACGCUAUCAGAUGAUCCUAGGUCGGAUUAGCUAGUUGGUGGGGUAAAGGCCUACCAAGGCGACGAUCCGUAACUGGUCUGAGAGGAUGAUCAGUCACACUGGAACUGAGACACGGUCCAGACUCCUACGGGAGGCAGCAGUGGGGAAUAUUGGACAAUGGGCGAAAGCCUGAUCCAGCCAUGCCGCGUGUGUGAAGAAGGUCUUCGGAUUGUAAAGCACUUUAAGUUGGGAGGAAGAGCAGUAAGUUAAUACCUUGCUGUUUUGACGGUACCAACAGAAUAAGCACCGGCUAACUUCGUG
rnacentral:rRNA from 1 species